ACGAGUUAACUGAACCUUCGGGGAACGUUAACGGCGUCGAGCGGCGGACGGGUGAGUAAUGCCUGGGAAAUUGCCCUGAUGUGGGGGAUAACCAUUGGAAACGAUGGCUAAUACCGCAUAAUAGCUUCGGCUCAAAGAGGGGGACCUUCGGGCCUCUCGCGUCAGGAUAUGCCCAGGUGGGAUUAGCUAGUUGGUGAGGUAAUGGCUCACCAAGGCGACGAUCCCUAGCUGGUCUGAGAGGAUGAUCAGCCACACUGGAACUGAGACACGGUCCAGACUCCUACGGGAGGCAGCAGUGGGGAAUAUUGCACAAUGGGCGCAAGCCUGAUGCAGCCAUGCCGCGUGUAUGAAGAAGGCCUUCGGGUUGUAAAGUACUUUCAGCAGUGAGGAAGGCGGAGUCGUUAAUAGCGGCCUCGUUUGACGUUAGCUGCAGAAGAAGCACCGGCUAACUCCGUGCCAGCAGCCGCGGUAAUACGGAGGGUGCGAGCGUUAAUCGGAAUUACUGGGCGUAAAGCGCAUGCAGGUGGUUUGUUAAGUCAGAUGUGAAAGCCCGGGGCUCAACCUCGGAAUUGCAUUUGAAACUGGCAGACUAGAGUACUGUAGAGGGGGGUAGAAUUUCAGGUGUAGCGGUGAAAUGCGUAGAGAUCUGAAGGAAUACCGGUGGCGAAGGCGGCCCCCUGGACAGAUACUGACACUCAGAUGCGAAAGCGUGGGGAGCAAACAGGAUUAGAUACCCUGGUAGUCCACGCCGUAAACGAUGUCUACUUGGAGGUUGUGGCCUUGAGCCGUGGCUUUCGGAGCUAACGCGUUAAGUAGACCGCCUGGGGAGUACGGUCGCAAGAUUAAAACUCAAAUGAAUUGACGGGGGCCCGCACAAGCGGUGGAGCAUGGGGUUUAAUUCGAUGCAACGCGAAAACCCUUCCUACUCUUGACUCCAAAGACUUUCAGAGAUGAUUG
rnacentral:rRNA from 1 species